rnacentral:rRNA from 1 species
UACGUAGGGGGCAAGCGUUGUCCGGAUUUACUGGGCGUAAAGAGCGCGUAGGCGGACGCUUAAGUGUGGCCUGAAAGCCCCCGGCUCAACCGGGGAGGGUGGCUGCAAACUGGGCGUCUUGAGGGCGAUAGAGGAGAGUGGAAUUCCUGGUGUAGCGGUGAAAUGCGUAGAUAUCAGGAGGAACACCGGUGGCGAAGGCGGCCGACUGGCGGCGACUCGUGACGUGAGACCCGAAAG